GAAGAAGGGAUUAGCUUAAAAGCUCAAGAGAAGUCCCUGUGGAUUUUGGAAAAGAUAUUCAAAGUGGAGGCUUAUAGAGUAGAGUAUGGUGAAUAUGCACAAGUUGUGCUAAUUGAUUUAGCACAAAAUGGGGAUUCAUUGUUGAAACCUACAGUGGCUAAAUUAUUAGCACAACUUGAGCUCUUGCAGCAACAAUCAAGUUACUUUUGAGACAAAGCAAAAACAAAAAAACUUCUUUUUUUCCCCAAUUAUUUGUUGAUUGAUUGAAAUGUUGAAAUUUGUAUAGUAAGUGCUCAUACAGAUAAACUUUUUUAUGGUGCAAAUGUUCUCUCAUUGUACAAAUUACAGGAAAAAAAGGUUAUUAGAGAUGACUGAAACUUGUUGUCUUCAGAAAGUACAUUAUUUUAGCUUUGGCUGCCAUUUUGGUGCCAUUUUUUCUGCAAUUUUGCUGUAGUUUUGAUCCAAUGGCAUGAACAAGAACAACUUGCAAAUUUUAUACACCAAAUAAAUGAAGGAAACCUGUGCAAAAUAUCAACUUUACAAGUAUGACAGCUUCAUAAAUGGAGGAAACCUCGGCAAAAUAUCAAGAAUAAUUAUAGAUAUCAAAACCAGUGAUGCAACUUCACUGAUAUAAAUGUAGAGCAGAAGUUCCCUUAACCGGGAAAUAACAUCAUCCUAAUAGACACUGGUAUGUCACUCUGGGUGUAGUUCCCAAAUGUGCAAAUUCUAAUUUUAAAAGAAGUAAAUUUGUCUAGUCUGAUUUAGCUUCGGAAGUUGGUCAACUUAGAGCUCAAUUAAAGAAAAGUUCAAAAAAUUAUGGAUGGAGGGAGUGCUUUGGGAUUAAGUUAGUUGUUCCACUCAGGAAUUUUUUAUUUGGCCUGUGACUUGUAUGUUGGUGGGCGUUUAAGUGUGAAAUUAGUGGACCUUUAGUUGUAGAGAAUCCCAUAAUGAACAUAAAGGUUUCAUUUAUUCGGCUCCGACUAGAUAGGGAGUGAGGCAUAGGGGAUUGGUUAAUUUAAUGAGAUUGUAUCUGUUUUAAAGGCCAGAGGUAAAGCAAAGUAAAACAAAUCUGUGCUCCUCUCAUGCUGGUGUUGUCUUUCUUCCAUACAAUCAAAUCAAAUUUCUUCGACUUCAAGUUAUUGUCUCUUUCACUCUCCUUGUAGCUUGUCUCUUUUAAGAUUCAAGUCUGAUUGCUUUAAUUUGGUUUAAUAAUUUGAUUGUCCCACUAAGUUUACUCUGAAAUUAAUGCUUUCUUUGGCGUAUGUAGGUUGGAGCAAUCAUCUCAGGCGUUCAGCCAGGUUUAUCCAUGGUUUGGGACCCCCUGGUACGGGAAAGACUGAUAAUGCAAGUCAUUGGUUUUGGAUGGUAUGAUUACUAAAGAAGGGAUUCAUCAUGAAGAUAUGAUCCCGGUUCUGUUUAAUCGAUUGAGUUCAAGUAAAACAGACCAUAGAUUGAUUAUACUCCGAAUACUACAAGCACUGGCCGUAUAAGAUGAUGAACAUACGGUACAUUUAGUAUUUUAUUGAGUCUCAAAUAAUGAGAAUCAAGAAGCUGAAAGUUUUGAGUGGUUAAUUUUCACUUUGGUGUGCAGGAAAAGAUGGCACAAAUGGGGAAUUUAUUGAUACUGGUGAAGUCGUUGGGUCAUGAUUUGGAAGAGCAAAAAGAAGCAGUGGGGCUGUUACUGAGUCUAUCAGAUGUUGCUGCAGUUAGGAGAAGAGUCGGGAGAAUUCAAGGCUGCAUCGUCAUGUUGGUUGCAAUUUUUAAUGGGGAUGAUCAAAUGCCGUCACAUGACGCUGCCAACUUGUUAAAUUCUUUAUCAGGCAAUACCCAAUAUGCUCUUCAUAUGGCUGAGGCUGGCUAUUUCAAGCCUCUUGUACACUACUUGAACCAAGGUAUAUUUAGGACAUUUCCAUAAAUUAUAUGCAGUUCAAUAAGCUAUUUGAUUAAUUGUUUACGUAAAAUAUAUAUUCUAUGUAAAUGAUUGCAGGAUCAGACAUGAGUAAGAUUCUAAUGGCAACAGCACUUUCAAGAAUGGAACUCACAGAUCAAAAUAGAGCUAACCUGGGACAAGAUGGAGCCGUUGAACCGCUAGUCAAAAUGUUCACCUCCGGGAACCUAGAAGCUAAGCAAUCGUCUCUAAACGCGUUGCACAACUUGUCUGCCUCAAAAGCAAACGUUCAACGUCUGAUAAAAUCGGGCAUCGUUGCUACUCUGCUACAGCUUCUUUUCUCCGUUACAUCGGUGCUCAUGACUCUAAGAGAGCCACUAUCCGCAAUUCUUGCAAAAAUAGCAGCUCAAUUGGAAGUUGGCACAGUACUAGUGAAACAAGAUGUUGCUCAGCAGAUGAUUUCGCUCCUUCAUCUGACUAGUCCAGUAAUCCAGUGUCACUUGUUAGAAGCACUUAAUGCCAUCGCUGCUUGUCCGAAUGCUUCAAAGGUCAGAAGAAAAAUGAAGGAAACUGGCGCUGUUCGCCUUCUCUUACCAUUCCUAACAGAAAGCCGCAAUACCAAGAUUAGAAAUGGAGCUUUAAAUUUGAUUUACGUAUUGUCUAAUGAUAUGCAAGGCGGGGAGCUAAUGGAGCAGCUAGAACAAAUGCAUCUGAAUACAUUGAUCAACAUCGUAUCAUCAUCAUCCACGACGGAUGAUGAAAAGGCUGCUGCUGUUGGCAUACUAAGCAACUUUCCGGUGAGUGACAAGAAUGUCACAGACAUGUUAAUGAAAGCAAACCUACUGCCCAUUUUGGUUUCCAUAUUGACAUCAAGUACACCUACAACACCACAUUUACUAGCUGAGAACGUCUCCGCAGUACUAAUCCGAUUCACCCUUCCAUCAGACAAGAAACUACAACACUUCUCUGUCGAAAAUGGGGUGAUCAGCAUUUUGGUAAAGCUCCUCACAUGUGGCUCAAUCAUAGCCAAAUGUAGAGCUGCAACAUCACUAGCUCAACUAUCUCAAAACUCACUCACUCUACGAAAAUCAAGAAAGUCAAGAUGGUUUUCAUGUGCCCCUCCCCAUUCUACAGACACAUUUUGUCAAGUACAUGACGGGCAUUGCUCUAUAAAAACCACAUUCUGUUUGGUAAAAGCAGGGGCAAUGCCUCCGCUAGUCCAAAUAUUGCAAGGCAACGAAAGAGCAGCUUCGUCCGCUGCUCUUUCGUUGCCUUGCAACAUUACAACAAGACGAGAUUUGGGAAAAUGGGAGCAACUUGUUAGUGAAAAUAGUCAUGUGUACAACCAAUUAUCAAGAUUCUUGAAGAAGGGAUUAGCUUAAAAGCUCAAGAGAAAUCCCUUCGGAUUUUGGAAAAGAUAUUUAGAGUGGAAGCUUAUAGAGUAGAGUAUAGUGAAUAUGCACAAGUUGUGCUAAUUGAUUUAGCACAAAAUGGGGAUUCAUUGUUGAAACCUACAGUGGCUAAAUUAUUAGCACAACUUGAGCUCUUGCAGCAACAAUCUAGUUACUUUUGAGACAAAGCAAAAACAAAAAAACUUUUUUUUUUUCCAAUUAUUUGUUGAUUGAUUGAAAUGUUGAAAUUUGUAUAGUAAGUGCUCAUACAGAUAAACUUUUUUAUGGUGCAAAUGUUCUCUCAUUGUACAAAUUACAGGAAAAAAAAGGUUAUUAGAGAUGAAU
rnacentral:lncRNA from 1 species